rnacentral:rRNA from 1 species
GGAAUAUUGCGCUAAUGCGCGAAAGCGUGACGCAGCGACGCCGCGUGGGGGAUGAAGGCCCUCGGGUCGUAAACCCCUUUCGCCAGGGACGAAGGGACACUGCCGGUACCUGGCGAAGAAGUCCCGGCUAACUACGUGCCAGCAGCCGCGGUAACACGUAGGGGACGAGCGUUGUCCGGAAUCAUUGGGCGUAAAGCGCGCGUAGGCGGCCCGGAAAGUCGGUUGUGAAAGCCCGGGGCUCAACCCCGGGACUGCAUCCGAUACUUCCGGGCUGGAGGUAGGUAGGGGAGAUCGGAAUUCCUGGUGUAGCGGUGAAAUGCGCAGAUAUCAGGAGGAACACCGGUGGCGAAGGCGGAUCUCUGGGCCUUACCUGACGCUGAGGCGCGAAAGCUAGGGGAGCGAAC